rnacentral:rRNA from 1 species
UAGGGAAUCUUCGGCAAUGGGGGCAACCCCUGACCGAGCAACGCCGCGUGAGUGAAGAAGGUUUUCGGAUCGUAAAGCUCUGUUGUAAGAGAAGAACGUGUGUGAGAGUGGAAAGUUCACACAGUGACGGUAACUUACCAGAAAGGGACGGCUAACUACGUGCCAG